GGACCUUCGGGCCUCUUGCCAUCAGAUGUGCCCAGAUGGGAUUAGCUUGUUGGUGAGGUAACGGCUCACCAAGGCGACGAUCCCUAGCUGGUCUGAGAGGAUGACCAGCCACACUGGAACUGAGACACGGUCCAGACUCCUACGGGAGGCAGCAGUGGGGAAUAUUGCACAAUGGGCGCAAGCCUGAUGCAGCCAUGCCGCGUGUAUGAAGAAGGCCUUCGGGUUGUAAAGUACUUUCAGCGGGGAGGAAGGUGUUGUGGUUAAUAACCGCAGCAAUUGACGUUACCCGCAGAAGAAGCACCGGCUAACUCCGUGCCAGCAGCCGCGGUAAUACGGAGGGUG
rnacentral:rRNA from 1 species